rnacentral:rRNA from 1 species
GGUCUGAGAGGAAGGUCCCCCCACACUGGUACUGAGACACGGACCAGACUCCUACGGGAGGCAGCAG